AUAAUUUAUCGUUUUAACUUGAAUCCCUGAGAAAAUAUUUUACUAGAAAUUGCUUACUACCUGAUUAACGAUGAAAAUUCAGAGAGAUAAUCCACAAUUCAAUGUUGAAAAACUUAUUAUACACACAAAACUCUAUAUUUGUUUAAAUCGUGUUCAAAUUUUUUUCACAAAUCAGAUUAUCUCGCGCAUUAAUCACGAAUUCUUUCUUCGAGAAACGAGUACAAUAUACACAAUUUGUUUUUUGAUACCCGGGUUGACUAAACUGUUGGAAAGUAAUUUCCAGGCUGUAAAGGACUCGAUGCUCGUGGACCUAGUGAAACGAGCAAAGUUCGAGGAUGUUUCGAAUUUCUUACUACAAGUCGCGGAAGAAUUCGUGCCCUUUUUUCCCCUCCUCUUUUUGUCUUCUCACUUUAGCCUGCAUCGUAGUUUAUUUCAAAGACACGUAUCCACGAGUUUUCUGAACAAUGUACUCGCGGAAGUAUUUCGGGCGGUAGUAUCCGUGCCAUCCAUUGCGAGGAUUUUCUUACGAUCCAGUUGCCAUUGGUAUGUCGUAUUGACCAUCUUUAUCCGACGAUUUCUAGUAGGUAAUCGUUUGUCACUACGUUCCCCUUCCUUGCGUAUAUUUCCA